CUUAGAAUUCCUAUUAUCUAUUGCAGGCUUCUUAUCUUAAAGUGUAUAUUCUGGAUACAAUGCUAAUUACAAUUUGUGUCAUUGUUCCUCACUUCCUUUUAUUAUAAACUUGUUUGAGCAAGUUUCCAAUCAACACUUGCUUAUGUGUACCUUAAUUGGUAAUAAAGGAAUUAUCCUUGUACCUAUUGUACAGUUUUUGUAUAACAAAUAAUUACACACCACACUAUUUUAAUUAAAUAAUUGUGGUUGUACUGAUUUUAAGCGGGUGCGUUUUAUCUAUAACAAUUUUUUUUCUUGAUUAAACUUUCAAUGUUAUUAAAUAUUCUUCACUCACAUUUGUGAGUUCCAUUUUUACCAGCAUUUUCUAAAUUCUUUUAGAAGCUUUGCACAGUCUAGCAUUUAUUAAGACCAAAUAUAGGUUUUAUUUUACUAUUUCCGAUGAAUGAGUGAAAGAAAAUAGCUCGAAAUAGUUUGUCCCUAGAAAAGAGAGUUUGCUUCUCAAAAACCUAUUAAAAUCAAAUAAUGCAGGCCAUUUGGUUGUUUUUAAAUGAUUUCUUUUU